rnacentral:rRNA from 1 species
AUUGAACGCUGGCGGCAUGCCUUACACAUGCAAGUCGAACGGCAGCACGGGUGCUUGCACCUGGUGGCGAGUGGCGAACGGGUGAGUAAUACAUCGGAACGUACCUUAUCGUGGGGGAUAACGCAGCGAAAGCUGUGCUAAUACCGCAUACGCCCUGAGGGGGAAAGCGGGGGAUCGCAAGACCUCGCGCGAUUAGAGCGGCCGAUGCCUGAUUAGCUUGUUGGUGGGGUAAAAGCCCACCAAGGCGACGAUCAGUAGCUGGUCUGAGAGGACGAUCAGCCACACUGGGACUGAGACACGGCCCAGACGCCUACGGGAGGCAGCAGUGGGGAAUUUUGGACAAUGGGGGCAACCCUGAUCCAGCAAUGCCGCGUGAGUGAAGAAGGCCUUCGGGUUGUAAAGCUCUUUUGUCAGGGAAGAAACAGCAGCUCUAACACAGUAUGCGAAUGACGGUACCUGAAGAAUAAGCACCGGCUAACUACGUGCCAGCAGCCGCCGUAA